rnacentral:pre_miRNA from 1 species
AUGGGUGGCCAACCGUGCCAGUUUGCCCAGGACUAAGGGAUUUCGUGGGAUGCAGGACUUUCACUGCUAAAACUAGCACAGUCCUGGGCAAACUGGGAUGGUUGGUCACCAUAUCCCUC